CAGACGGCGGUGGUGUGUAGUGUAGAGGACAGGGGCAGGAAGCGGUGGUGUGUAGAAGAGGAGGGGUAGGAGGCGGAGGUACGGAGGGUAGAAGAGGAGGGUCAGGAGGCGGAGGUGCGGAGGGUAGAAGAGGAGGGUCAAGAAGUGGAGGUGCGGAGGGUAGAAGAGGAGGGGCAGGAAGCGGAGGUGGCGGGGCGGAGGUUGACUACUACCUUCGGUUCUAGGUACCGCUGCCACGGACUUCGCCGGGCUACCUUCGCCUUCGGUUGUUAACGGCUACGUCGCUCGUCGACGAUGAGCGUUCGUUGCUGGUUCCGGUACCUAGAUGACGUCCCCGGAAGAUGAGGCAGAGGGUCCUGCGCGUCGACGGAGCGGUAGGCCUCCAAGCCAAGUCGGUCGUGCCCUGCUCCUCUCCUGCUGAUGGCACUGGACAUCCUCCGUGUUCGAGCUGGAACGACCCCUGUUGCUGCGAGGCGUGUUCCUCGAAAGGCGGAGAGGUCAAGGAACCUGCCACUGCUGACCGUGGGUGCGAGCUCGAGCUGUUACUCUAGCAGGCGGGGCUGGUGGUACUAAGGGGUGUCUUGCUCCAGCUGGGAGAGCGAGACAAAAAGAAAGGAAAGGUUCACUAAUGACGAGACGAGAUCGUAUCAAGAGGUUCCCGAGAGUGUAAAAGAACAUGACUUGGUACUACGUGUUUUGCACCGGUGAAAAAAAAAGACUGUACGUUCAAUGUCGGUUGCUAUCUGAUCGUAACGCUCGUCGUCGUUACAUCUUAAAUACUCUAGACGAUCAAUCAAAUUCUACGAUCACAUUAUUCAUUUGCCGGUACUCUACGAGGACAACAAAGGAACGAUGAGAAACGUUCGUCGUUCCUACAAUUAACGGUCACCCCGUCGACUGAUACGAUAGACGGAAAAACGGUUCCUCUUCUCAUGGUACUAUAGAAUAGGAAGGUGAUUUGUUAGUUUAAGACCGUUGAGAAUUAAAUAGAGGUACCCUAGAUGAAUCGACUGGUGAAACAGGUUCAUUAUAAACACCUUCUAUCACCCCACACUACAAGCUUGUAACAAACAUUUGUGUUUACGUGAAAACCGAUAAAACUGCUUAGACGUAUGACAAGAACUUGUACUAUAAAAUGAUAUAUCCUUGCUAUUACUUUCUAACUACCGUAACUCUAGGUAUCGUUAAGUAAAUGUUGGUAUAUGAAAAUGAUAUUAGAAACUGAAAAAAUAAGGAGUAGUAAAGAGGGAUAGAACCGUUGAUAUUAAAAAACUCCUUAAAAGGAACAUUAAGUUAGAAUUAUAACUAAACUAUAUGGAACAGAAAAGAACAAGAUAUCAGUAGGGUAACGAAUUUUUAAACUUCCUUUACGAUUUAAAUAAUGAACUACCGAAUAUGGACGUGAAGCACAAUAUAAAGAUGUACGUACAAUGAAGAUCUACGGACCUCCGUACUUCAGUACGAGCUUUAAGGUAUCACGGAAUUGGUGGUUACCGUUGUAUUAAUAGUUUAUUUCAAGUGUCUGUUUGAACGUUUUGUGUAGUUCAGAAAGUACAAAAACUCGAUCAGGGUAGCGGUCAAAGAAGUGUGUUUUAUACCCCGUGCAUGUGUUGAACAAAGCUCAUCAUCAUAAGAAGAAAAAAGGAAAAGUACAGAAUCGAAUCUUUCUUGUGAGAUUAUCUUCCAGUUGUUUUUCAGAUCGUAUUUUAGAUAUAACCGGUAUUACUAAUCAUAAAAAGGAGUUUUAGACGGAACGUAUGUCAUAUGACUGCGCGUUAUCGGUGAAGGGUGAAGGCCGUUCCACGACCUAGAUCGGACCGGCUACACGGUGUAUCAAGUAGUUAAUGGUCGAGACGCGCCGGCACGCCUACACAAUCCCGACUUCAAAAGGAAGUGUUAAACACAAGUACAACGAGCUUUAGGGGUAGUCCACGUGCCGUUGUUUUUUUUUAGAGUUUUUUAUUGUCUUAAAAGAAAUCCUUCGCCCGACGUUUAGACCAGUUCACAACACAAACCAAAGGUACCUAUAAGAGUUUUACACCCUUUCACAGGUCAAGUUUCGUAGCUACGUACGUAGAUCACAGGCAAUAGAUAUAAAAGAAUAAACUAAUUGUUAAGGUAUAGGAAGAGGAUUUGCAUGUCCAGAGAUAAAAUGUUUUGUUUUGUUAACUUCAAACACAUAGAGAGAGCAUUUGUAUGUCCAUGUACGGAAGAAAACGACUUCAUGUCCAUGUACGGAAGAAAACGACUUCAAUGAUGUAACAGUGCAUAAUAACGUGUAUACAAUUAACUUACUUAGAACACGUAACAUAAUACAUAACAGGGGGUAACAGUCUGUUCACAAAAAGACAAAGAACAAACGUACUAUACGUUUCAUGAAUUGUAACAUACAAAAUGUGUAUUGAACCAACAGGAUUAAGUAUGUCUAGAUGUACUUUGAAUAUACAUCGUCUAUAAUACGAUAAGAGCAAACAUCGUCACAUUCUAAAUUCUUAAAACCUAUUGUGUACUAAGUCAAAAAUGUAAACAAUGUUAAGAGAAGAUAGAUAAAUAUAGAUUGUAUAGACUACCAGAACAUUUAUACGAUCCAUACUAACGUAUCACCCGAUGAACCACGACGGUUAUUGUUAGUCGUACUGUACUAUGUAUCAAAGGUCCUCCUCCCGGCUACUGUUGUACUUAUUAUUGAAGUUAUCAAAUUUGCAAUAGAAACACACUCGAUCUAACAUGACAAAGGAUUGAAACAACUCACUAUAAAACAGUUGGAUAUAACAUUUUAAUGGUAAAGGACUUCCUAAAACAUUUGAAGAUAUAACAUUUAUGGACGCCUACUAACGUAUAACUAAGUAUAUACAUGAAUACUUUGUAACCUUUAUGAAACAGAACCCG
rnacentral:rRNA from 1 species